UCCUAGGCUGAACUCUCUUCGGUAAGG
rnacentral:piRNA from 1 species